AGUGCUGUGAAGGUGACAGCGUGAGGUGACCCAGCUGGCCCCCCGCGAUGCUGGCAGCACGGCGGCUGCUCGGCUGGUCGCUUCCCGCGCGGGUAUCUGUGCGUUUCAGCGGUGACACGACAGCACCCAAGAAAACCUCAUUUGGCUCGCUGAAGGAUGAAGACCGGAUUUUCACCAACCUGUACGGCCGCCAUGACUGGAGGUGAGACAGUGCCCUUAGUGUGUUGGGUCCCGGAGCAAGGCAUCCCCUUCACUGCCUUCCCUAUUCUGUACAGGCUGAAAGGUGCCCUGAGUCGAGGUGACUGGUACAAGACAAAGGAGAUCCUGCUGAAGGGGCCCGACUGGAUCCUGGGUGAGAUCAAGACAUCGGGUUUGCGGGGCCGUGGAGGCGCUGGCUUCCCCACUGGCCUCAAGUGGAGCUUCAUGAAUAAGCCCUCAGAUGGCAGCCUGUCUGACCUGUGGGCCCCUGCAGGCCCAAGUAUCUGGUGGUGAACGCAGACGAGGGGGAGCCGGGCACCUGCAAGGACCGGGAGAUCAUACGCCAUGAUCCUCACAAGCUGGUGGAAGGCUGCCUGGUGGGGGGCCGGGCAAUGGGCGCCCGUGCUGCCUAUAUCUACAUCCGAGGGGAGUUCUACAAUGAGGCCUCCA
rnacentral:sRNA from 1 species